UAAAACUAAAGCAUUGUUUGGUUUGCUGUCUCUUGUUUUUAGCAUUCAGAUAAUGUAUGUUCUUUGCUUUAUCCUAGCCUGCCAUCUUCAAGUCAAUGCGAGGGAACUUCUUUAGUGUCAGGGGAGCCAUGUAAGGCAUCAUUAUCAACCUGGCUGGUGGAUAUUGUUGAUGAAUCUGUGAAAGCUGGUAUACACCGCCGAGUUGUCUGACAAAGCACCAAUUAGAAGAUUCCUGCAACCAAAG